UAGGGAAUCUUCCGCAAUGGACGCAAGUCUGACGGAGCAACGCCGCGUGAGUGAAGAAGGAUUUCGGUUCGUAAAACUCUGUUGUUAGAGAAGAACAGCGCAUAGAGUAACUGUUAUGCGUGUGACGGUAUAUAACCAGAAAGCCACGGCUAACUACGUGCCAGCAGCCGCGGUAAUACGUAGGUGGCAAGCGUUGUCCGGAUUUAUUGGGCGUAAAGCGAGCGCAGGCGGUCAAUUAAGUCUGAUGUGAAAGCCCCCGGCUCAACCGGGGAGGGUCAUUGGAAACUGGUUGACUUGAGUGCAGAAGAGGAGAGUGGAAUUCCAUGCGUAGCGGUGAAAUGCGCAGAGAUAUGGAGGAACACCAGUGGCGAAGGCGACUUUCUGGUCUGUAACUGACGCUGAUGUGCGAAAGCGUGGGGAUCAAACAGG
rnacentral:rRNA from 1 species